AUUAUUUUAAAUGUAAAAUUAUAUGCUAAAGUAGUAUUAGUUAAGUUCUUGAAAUUUAAAAAUUUUGGCGGUAUUUUAGUCUAUUCAGAGGAACCUGUUCUAUAAUUGAUAAUCCACGAUUUACUUUACUUAAUUUAAUUAAUUUGUAUAUCAUCGUUAUUAGAUAAUUUUAUAAGAAUAUAAAUUUUUAAGAUUUUAAAUAAAUAAAUAAAUCAGAUCAAGAUGCAGUUUAUAGUUAAGAAGAAAUGGGUUACAAUAAAUUUAUUUAUAUGGAUUAUUAGAUGAAAUUUUAAUAUGAAGGUGGAUUUGAAAGUAAUUAAAUUUAUUUUAAUUUAAUGAUUUAAGCUCUAAAAUAUGU
rnacentral:rRNA from 1 species